GGCAGGUUGCCCGAGUGGCCAAAGGGAGCGGACUGUAAAUCCGCCGGCUCUGCCUACGUUGGUUCGAACCCAACACCUGCCACCC
rnacentral:tRNA from 1 species